CCUCUCAUUACAUCUGAAAGAUCAGAUCAAACACCCACACAAACACAUCUCUAUUCCCUGCCUUCUCAAAAACUUCUCUACAUAUAUCUCCAAUACACACGCACUGCUCCUUCAUCUCCUACCUUUCUAAACCCUUCAUCUUCUCAAUCAAGACACACACACCAAAACCAGGUUCACACCCAUAUCCUGUUACUCCUUCUCGACACAUCCGGCCACCGGAACUCCAUCUCCGGCGCCGUGAUGGGUCCGACAAACACCCCUCUAUUUGGAUUUAUAUCCCUCACCUAUUACCUCCUCUAGUUGAAGCAGCGUGGCGUGGUGACGAGACAGGGACAGAGAGAGUCUGAGAAAAGAGAGAGACCGAGCAGGGAGAGAGUCGACGUCACCGGCAACCGACGCCGCUCGCGGCGGUGGAGGCGACGGCGGUGGCUCUCGUUCGUCUCGAGUCCGGUUCUCCGACAAACCUUCGACAAAAAAAAAACGGGUUCAGCUUUGAUUUGAGUUGUAUCUUAUUCAAAUCCCGAUUCAACCCGCUUGUUUUGGUAUUUCAGCUCGGUUCUGGCAGUCCAGGUCUCGGGUUUGGGCUCCGGUUUGGGUUGUUUGGCUCCGACUCCAGCUCGGGUCUCGCAACACAGUCGGCUCAGGUCACGACUCGGGUUUGGGUUCCGUCACGGUACGGGUCAGAUUCAGGGUGCGAGUCAACGUUGAGUUUCGGUUCAAACUUCGACCCGGGAUUCACGUCAGAGAUUAACUCACCAGUUCGCGUGACCUCGGUGUUCCGUCCUCCUAUCUCAUCAACUCGUCAUACUUGGAUAAUCGGAAGAUUUAGCAAUUAAGUUAAUUGUUGAAGUAUGGACAAAUGAUGAAACGAGAUUUAGGGUGGACUAGAUACACACCUAGAUUAAUCUAUCUUUUGUUGUUAUGUUACAAUUUGAAACAAUGUUGUUAUUUCUAUUCGAAUCUUGUAUGACAAUUUAGUAUUGCAACGAAAUUUGAAUUUAAAUUAAAUAUUGUCACAUA